CCCGCAGUCCUUCAAACAAACACAUCAGGGCAGAUCCCCUUCCUCUUCCCCACGCACGAGCGGGCGCACCGCCGCCGCCGACGCCUUCCUCGCGGAGUUUGCGGCCGAAGGAUCGGUUGGGGCGCAUCGGGUCGGCCUUCGGUGGGGCGCAGUGCGAGCUCUCGGCUCGGGGCAGGAGGCGGCUCGAUGAAGAGGAGCUGGGGCGCGGCGCUCCUCUCCUGGUGUGGCGCACGAGGGAAGGAGGAGGGGAUCGAUCCAAGACGGGAGCUGAGGCUGGCGGCGCCCUUCACACAAGCCUCACCGGCGGUGCCUUCUACACAAGCCUCACCGGCGGUGCGGCGGGAGAGCUCCGACCCGUCCAUAGGUGCAGGGAUGCAGAUCCGCGUCGCCAGCCUGUACUAGGCCGAGGUUGAUGCGCCGGCGCAGGGGUCGCCGUCCAUCUUCGCCAGGCCUCCAGAGUACUCCAGCAACAGCCACUGGACGGCAGAUAUUUUGCCGGAUGACCCACUGUAUGAGCAUGCCACAUCCUUUCUUGCUCACCCAGCACACGGCAUUCCUUACAGUAGAGGUACCACACGGGGUGGUGACUGGGAGGCUGGGACAUGCUGGCACGGCCAAACAGCUGGUUUACUGCAAUCAGGGUGCUAGAGGCUCUUGAGGUUGCAGCCCGCUCGCCUGCUGGAGGUACAAUGUUGAGACCUCAUCUUCAUGAGACUAGCAAGGGAUGGACAUUCUGAAGAAGAAGAGAUGAGGUGAGUUUCUGAAGUUCACCGUCCAAUCCAAGUAUUAAAGGUGAGCAUUACUAUUCAAAGGGACAUAAUUAACCUGUUAAAUUAUUUUUAGAGCAAGAAACCAGUUAUUAUCUAACCGAAUAACUAUAGAAUAGCUACUUUUUCUAAAAUGAGGUUUCGUCUUUAAAUAGAGAUGGACCAGAGAAGGGGCUUGAGAAAUGCUUAUUAGGCUAGAGGCGUAUGAUUUUUUUUCUCCUGUUGCAACGCACGGGCAUGUUUGCUAUAAUAAUAAAGCAUUCAGUGGAGGGGCUUAGAAAAAUAGAAACAGUUCUAUUUUAUAUACAAUGUACUUCAGAAAUUAAUGGCUGGAGGAUCCUAAACUAACAUAUGGCAUUUUGUUUCAAUUUCUCUUUACCUGAUUGUGUUACUUAUGCACAAGCACCAUACUUGAUAUAGGUCCCUGCACUUCCGUUGACGAGUAUUUUGUCAGCAUCUCGAUGCGGAGGACAUUUAUUUGAAAUACUAAAUUGUGGUGUCGCUACCUCUAAGGACCACAGCGUUGUAGCGCCCUUGGCUCAAGGUGACCAUCUUCAGCGCAUCGUGGUGUCGCUGCCCACACGAUCUCUACAGACACCACAAAAGGCUACAGGACCGAGGAGGCCGGUGGCCUGACCACUGAAUCACGUUGUCGUGCGGGCGCCUUGAUCUCGCAUGCGCUGCACAGGUUAGAUUGACAUUUUGCCCUGUGUUUAAUUACUACAUGCACUGCACACUGAUCCAUGUAUAUAUUGGCUCCCCUAUAUAUACCUCUGUUGGUGAAAAGUUUUGACUUUCGAGUUUUGUCAGACGUGAGUUGCAACAAUUUUCAGUUUACUUUUCUAUGCCUGCCAUUCAUCUCUGAACCGUUGUGAUGGAGAUUGUAAUACUGUGUUUAGAAUAUGUCAGUCCAUAUGCAAGAUCUUCUUUUCAA